GAGAGCCAGUGUGGUGUAGUGGUUAAGAGCGGUAGACUCCUAAUCUGGGGAACUGGGUUUGCGUCUCCGCUCCUCCACAUGCAGCUGCUGGGUGACCUUGGGCCAGUCACACUUCUUUGAAGUCUCUCAGCCCCACUCACCUCACAGAGUGUUUGUUGUGGGGGAGGAAGGGAAAGGAGAAUGUUAGCCGCUUUGAGACUCCUUAAAGGGAGUGAAAGGCGGGAUAUCAAAUCCAAACUCCUCCUCCUCUUCUUCUUCUUCUUCUUCUUCUUCUUCUUCUUCUUCUUCUUCUUCUCAU